GUGCUUACUUUGGCAGCACAUAUACUAAAAGUGGAAUAAUACAGAGAAGAUUAUCAUGGCCCCUGAACGAGGAUGAUAAGCAAAUUAAUCAUGGGGUUCAUAUUUUU
rnacentral:snRNA from 1 species